rnacentral:tRNA from 1 species
AGAGGCUUAGGUUAACCCAGACCGAGGGCCUUCAAAGCCCUAAGCAAAUAGCACAUAUUUAGCCUCUG